GAUGAACGCUAGCGGCAGGCUUAAUACAUGCAAGUCGAGGGGCAGCAUGAUUGUAGCAAUACAAUUGAUGGCGACCGGCGAACGGGUGCGGAACACGUACACAACCUUCCAACAAGUGGGGGAUAGCCCAGAGAAAUUUGGAUUAAUACCCCGUAACAUAGCGAUGUGGCAUCACAUUGCUAUUAUAGAUUUUUCGCUUGUUGAUGGGUGUGCGGCUGAUUAGAUAGUUGGCGGGGUAACGGCCCACCAAGUCUACGAUCAGUAGCUGAUGUGAGAGAAUGAUCAGCCACACGGGCACUGAGGCACGGGCCCGACUCCUACGGGAGGCAGCAGUAAGGAAUAUUGGACAAUGUACGCAAGUCUGAUCCAGCCAUGCCGCGUGAAGGAUUAAGGUCCUCUGGAUUGUAAACUUCUUUUAUAAGGGACGAAAAAAGGCUUUUCUAAGUCGUCUGACGGUACCUUAUGAAUAAGCACCGGCUAACUCCGUGCCAGCCGCCGCCGUAAUAC
rnacentral:rRNA from 1 species